UCAAAGAGUGCGUAAUAGCUCACUGGUCGAGUGAUCCUGCGCCGAAGAUUUCCGGGGCUAAAACUUACUACCGAAGCUACGGCAUCAGUAAUGAUGGGUAGGGGAGCUUCCCAUACGGGUUGAAGCAGGACCGUAAGGACAUGUGGACAGUAUGGGAGUGAGAAUGUUGGCAUGAGUAGCGAGAUGUGGGUGAGAAUCCCACAGGCCGUAA
rnacentral:rRNA from 1 species